UACAGAGGUCUCAAGCGUUGUUCGGAUUCAUUGGGCGUAAAGGGUGCGUAGGUGGCGCCGUAAGUCGGGUGUGAAAUUUCGGAGCUUAACUCCGAAACUGCAUUUGAUACUGGUGUGCUUGAGGACUGGAGAGGAGACUGGAAUUCAUGGUGUAGCAGUGAAAUGCGUAGAGAUCAUGAGGAAGACCAGUGGCGAAGGCGGGUCUCUGGACAGUUCCUGACACUGAGGCACGAAGGCCAGGGGGAGCAAACGGGG
rnacentral:rRNA from 1 species